rnacentral:rRNA from 1 species
UAGGGAAUCUUCGGCAAUGGGGCGGACCUACGACCGAGCAACGCCGCGUGAGUGAAGAAGGUUUUCGGAUCGUAAAGCUCUGUUGUAAGUCAAGAACGGGUGUGAGAGUGGAAAGUUCACACUGUGACGGUAGCUUACCAGAAAGUCACGGCUAACUACGUGCCAGCAGCCGCGGUAAUACGUAGGUGGCAAGCGUUAUCCGGAAUCAUUGGGCGUAAAGAGGGAGCAGGCGGCAGUGCAGGUCUGCGGUGAAAGCCCGAAGCUAAACUUCGGUAAGCCGUGGAAACCGCACAGCUAGAGAGCAUCAGAGGAUCGCGGAAUUCCAUGUGUAGCGGUGAAAUGCGUAGAUAUAUGGAGGAACACCAGUGGCGAAGGCGGCGGUCUGGGGUGCAGCUGACGCUCAGUCCCGAAGCGUGGGGAGCAAUAGGAUUAGAUACC